CGGACGGGUGAGUAACACGUGGAUAACCUACCUAUAAGACUGGGAUAACUUCGGGAAACCGGAGCUAAUACCGGAUAAUAUUUUGAACCACAUGGUUCAAAAGUGAAAGACGGUCUUGCUGUCACUUAUAGAUGGAUCCGCGCUGCAUUAGCUAGUUGGUAAGGUAACGGCUUACCAAGGCAACGAUGCAUAGCCGACCUGAGAGGGUGAUCGGCCACACUGGAACUGAGACACGGUCCAG
rnacentral:rRNA from 1 species